AUGUUCGUUUUUACUUAACAAGUCCACUGAAAUUUUAACAUUUCAGUUUCGACCCCGUUUGGUCACUGCGAACUGUCCCGAACUGUAAUCUUUAUCCGAUAACUUCCAGAUGCUAUUUCUCUCUCUACAGGUGUCAGAAAAAUCUGAAACUUCAAAUCUAGCCUCAUAAUAAUGUUCCUGACAUCUCUGCCAAUUUUCAUAAUUUUCUGACACUGUGCAUUUUCUGCUAAUUUUCUCAGUCCCGUUCCUUACAGAAAAUUCUAAAUUUUCCGUUUUCGCUCCGAUUUCACCCAAACACUUCCAAAAUACACCAAGGGACCUUCCCAAGCUACCAAUUUAAUUUGGAAGCAAUUCCUUUUCAUUUUGACAUUAUUUGAGCCGAAUUAGAAAUAGAAUCGGCUCCAAUUCCAUUACAUGGCCUUUUUGCACUACCACUUCGCACUGAGCUCUUCAAAACCCUGUGAAAACACACCCUUGGCUUUACCAAAACUUCACAAUUGAUUCGGAGAUACCACAAUUUAUCCUUACGCCUUACUUUAAUUCUUUUAAUCAAAGUUAGCGUCGGAAUUUCGAAAAUUCUCUUUACUCUCUUUACAUUUCGUUUCGCGCCCAAUUUGCGCCGAAACACUUAUUUCUCUUUGGAACUCAUUCCAACGCAUCACAAAUCCCUCGGGGAUGAUGUCCAACUAGCUCAAUCCUCACUUUGACCCUCUAGGUCAAAGUUGACAUCGCAACUCCAAGUUUCCAUAUGUUACAUUCUCCUCCCGUUAACAAAAGUUUCGUCCGCGAAACUUAGAUCCAUAUUACCCCUUAUUGCUUAACGGAUGGAGAUAACUUUCCAAAUGCUAUUCCAAAGUUUCUCAAUUUCAUUCCAUACUAUACUGAUUUCUCCAAAUCAGUCUCUACGAACACUUUGUUCGCAUUUCCAAUCUCAACUCGUCAUCGAUGCUUAUUUUAGCAAUUCUGACUAAUUCAUCCAUAGGACCAAGCUUUUGCUUUCACGGUCCCUACUCAUAAUCUACUUGCAUAGAUCCACUACACUCGCUUUCAGUAUGAACGAGUAAACCAGUACCACAAUUCGGUUCAUAAGUUACCGAUCCGAUACAGGCCGAUUGCCUAACCCAACCAUGAUACGACAUAAUGCCUCUCGCUCGCAAGCGUAGACCCAAUUAUCACGUAGCAAAGUUCUCAUUUGAGACAUCGCAUACCUGCUCCAACUGGGAGCAACCGAGACCCCAAACCACGCCAAAUCCUCGGGUUGGGUCACAACCGCACUCUCAGUGCAUCACCGAUUUCACGAUCCAACACGUGGCAUUCCACGUACUCGGGUCUAUGCUCGGACUACCGUCCUGACCAAAGCUCUCCGCCCUACCUGCAAGUAUCCGGCCGCUGUCUCUCAUAGCUGACUGCGCCUACCUAAUGGGUCCAGGCUUCGCAGUCCACGAGUGGUCCAGGCACGGAUCGUCCCCAAGCACUACCCGCAAACGUCGUCUCACACGACACGCUCUACUGAGCACACGUACCACUAUCGGCUCCUACGCACAUAGUGCGAGCCCUACGGGUGACCUCUGGCACGCUUCACACUUAGCAAUGCUAAAGUGCUACUGCCAACGCACUCACGACUGAAGCAAAUCUGCACUCUACGAGCACCAACACUCGAGCGCUCUACACGACUCUAUCGCGUCCUAUAUUAAGUCUAGCAUUAGGCAACUCUUGUCUAUGCACACCAACUACACGAGCACGACCCACUGACCUCAAUUCGAGGUACCACUAGGUCCACGUGCACGUACCAAACGCAACAGUGAUUCUACUUUCACUGUUCGAUCUACUAGAUCAACCUGCAAAAUGCUCGGUUCUACAAGAGUUCCACGACUAUUGCGACUAGAUUCUCGCAAUCAGCAACUCGCAUUAGUUUUGAGAGUUGGUCAGCUACUACCACUAUUCCCACACUGUCACCAGCGCUUUGCUAGUGCCUUCAAAUUCUCUACCUGCUUCAACAGGUACUACACUUCCACCCACAAACAAACACAAGCAGGUACGAAGUAAUGCAUGUUAUGCACUAAAUGUACAUAAUGCAGAAAGUAUGAUUGCUUUAAUUAACUCAUACCUGUCACAGUGCCAACAGUCGCAGCAGGUUCCUCCACAUGGAACGCCUAUCCACGGCCACUUGUCGUUCGCCGCGAACCCCUGGAUUGCCUUAUCCUCAUUCGCUCUCCAGACCGUGCCGCAGGUAGCACACCUGCAAGCUGUCCCGGAGAGGAAAAUGCCGUCGUUAGCGUCCGGCUCGACUAUCACCCUGUGGACACUCGUCCCGCGCAUGACCUGGCUGUCCACAUCUGAAGCACUUGCCUUCUCGCUGCUCACACUGCUGUGGGUAGUGAGGACCCCCACAAACAACACAUCGUGCUGAGGAUCGAAUGCUAUAUGUUCCCGGAGCUCGAGAUCGCGAGCGCGAAUACUUUGAGGUUUGCUGAGAACUUGACUGACCAUCGUCCCCACUUGCUGGCCGUCCUUUCCCUUUUUCCUUGUAAUAAGACUCGCGCUCCUCCCGCACAGAUGCAUUGCCUUGUUCUAUCCACAAGGCCCGAUCCAAAACUUCAGCAAAGGUUUGCAACUUCAGAUUAUGCACUGCCUUAAAAAUAUCAGGCUGAAGUCCUCGUACAAAACAAUCAGCUCGAUCCUUGUCAUCUUGUACCACACCUGGAACCCAAUUCACGAGACGGGAAAAUUCCCGCUCGUAUUCUCUUACAGAGCGAUCUCCCUGCCGCAAAUUCUGAAACCUGUCCCGAAGCUUCCUCUUUUCACUAUCGGGGAAAUAAACUGAAGUUAUUACUUCCCGAAACUCUUGCCAAGUCAUAGGAGGAAGACUAGGCGAUCGAUUCUGCUUGAUGCCUUUCCACCACGUCUUCACUGAUCGUUGCAGACAAUGCACGGCUAGGCGCACCUUGUCCCGCUCCACUGUGUACAAGUCCUCGAAAAUAGACUCUAUGGAGUCAAUCCACGACUCCACAGUCCAUGGAUCUGUGUCCUCCCCAUCAAAAGUAGGCGGAUCAAACUUCUUGAACGACAUGAGGGCCGCCAAAGCUCGCUCUCUUUCUGCUUCCACCUCUGAACUAACAGCAGUCGGAUCACCCGACUCCGACGGAAAUGCCUCUGCCGCAACUCCCGGCUGUACAUGACGAACCGAAACGGGUGUGGUCACCAACUGAUCCACCGUCUCCUGCAGUCUCUUUAUCUGCUCUUCCUGACGCAGAGCAGCCUCCUGCUGACGCUGCACCACAUCCGUUUGUUGCCUGACCACUCCUACGAGUGUGGCCAACUGAUCGCGAAGCUCCAAGUCUCCGCUCGCCUCGUUCUGCUCAGGGACACCACUUGUCCCCUCCCGCGCCGAUCUAGCCGAAGAUCGCCUACGCGGUGCCAUCGUUUCCUGAAACACGACACGACAACUCGGUCAGUCCUCAACCCUCUGGGCCGAAUACGAAACAAUUAAUAGCGACUCUAAUCGGGCGAAAGUCACGCAAGGCCGUUUAUUCUCAUCACUCGGUUUCAUGUUGUCGCGCGCCAACAUGAACAUCCUUGGUUGAGAAUAAACCACACCUCGAGUCUACCUCUAAUCUCCUUUUUAGAGGUUUACCAAACUUGACCCAAUCGAUUUACCUUUCGCCACACGUCACAAGUCCUCGUCUCUCACGAGCAUAAGUCCUUACGGUUUACUAUCCUAGGUCUCCUAGGUCCAUCUAAACCGUUUCUAUUAUUCUCUUUUAUGCUCUUUUAUGCUCUGAUACCAUUUAAUCUGUCACGCCCCGAGCUCCGCCUAUUUGGUCGGAUUCGGGCACGCCGACAGACCGCCGAACGGACAGAGCCUCCCCUGUACGUUCUAGGCGUCAACAAUCUAAACAAUGCAAUACAAGAGGUUCCAUGCAGGAACUAUAGCAAGUAUGUAGAUUGCAUAAGUAUCAAAAACAUAAAAUGCUAACUAUGCUAUUACAAGCAUUCAACUCACAGAUUCUUUAGACAUUUACAAUAGUUUACAUUUACAUAACCAAAUGUGCCUUUAAGUUAUUACAAAACUUAUACAAAUUACUACAAAUUUGUUUCUUUCCAAUUGGAACUCUGAGCUGGACCUCUUCAGGGUACUUCUAUCACUGGUCUCGGUGGUAGGGCGCUAUCUACGGAGCUACGCCCUGUCCUCGCGCCGCUGCGCCGCUCACGUGUAACCUGUACCCCCAAAACAACACGGGGGUGAGAACUAUAUAAAUAUAGUUCCCAGUGGGUACGGCCACCCAAGGGAAGAGCUCGACCCACCAGGUCCAAAGGAGGCAACAGUAGGUUAGUUCAACAAAUAGAUAGAUAGAUAUUUGACUAAGCAAUAAAUAAAACCAUACCUUGCCUCGCUGCUAUGCAAUAUGCAAUACCUGUCAAUCAUGUAAGUAGAUUACUUGAUUCUACUUUAUAUCUUUAACCAUUCUUUACUUAUAGCCGUUCUUUUAUUUCUUAGCUAUUCUCGUUCAUUAGCUAAUUUCAUUAUCGUUCAUGUUUUGCUCUUUAUUCUUUGUACUUGUACUUGGUGUUCUACACCUUAAACUUGGGCCCACUAUAUUCAUUGGCAAAUUCUUUCUUAAGGUUGCUCUUACCUUAAUCUCACUAUGCCACCCGACUCGGUCUUGAGUCAAUCAAUCGCGGAUAGUCCGCGCACUGUCUAGCUCGAGGUGAAGGAACUCUCACAUGCACCUCAGCUGGCGACAGCUCACCGUACUCCUGUCCUAGCUGUCUGGCGGCGAACGAGUCGCACCUCACCCAACAACAGCCUAGGUCAAUGACUUAGCCACCCGGCGGCGAAAUCGUCGCACACGCCACGACAGUGGUUCAGUCAACAGGCGGUAGGAUCCACAAGCUGGCUUAACCAUCUGGCGGCGAAAUCGUCGCACACGCCGAACAAUGGUUCAAGCCUCCGGGUGGUGGACACUGCGCACACACCCAAUCCUGCCUUGGUAUCAAUCUCGGCGGCGAAAUCGUCGCACACGCCCUAGCCUUGAUACCAAGGUUAUAAUAGAUCUUGGGAUUCCGGAAUCCAUUUCCACAACUUGAGGGUUUACUCACUUUACCCUAUGUUGACGACCCUCCUAGGUCGAUACCAAUCCUUUCCUAGUGGUCACUAUACCACUAAUAUUCACAACUUAGUUCAAAUGUACUAAGUCUUACUAUAUAUCAUAACCUAGGUUCAUUUGCUAGGUUUUAUAUCAUUUUCACCUAGAACUCGACUCUAGGUUUAAUUACUUGACCUAUGUCCAAUGACACUGGGUUAAUGUCCGACCUCUGUUUCAAGAACACUAGGUUCAUGCCACUCGAUCUAUUACAAGUUGCACAUUUUCAUUUACUUUGUUACCGUCCAGAUUUCUACUCAAUUGGAGGUGUCGAUUUAUACCCAAUUCUUAGGGAUUUCACAUGAAGUUCAUAGUUUACAUACCAUAAAUUCACAUUUCACAUUCAACUUAUUUGCCCUUGGCAUCUAUGUAGGCUUUAGCAUAUAGCGACAUUCAUAUAGUAUGUAGGCUUUAGCAUAUAUUUUCACAUUUUAUAUUCAACUUAUUCGAUCAUAUGAAUUGCACAUCACUAUGCAUCAAACUUUCACGUUCAUAUAUCGACAAGUAUGUGUAUUUAACACGAUUAUAUGUAUUGACAAUUAUAUGUCUUUAACACGAUCUUCAAUAUAUUCACAUGCCUCUAGUUUGUUCAUUACCUGAUUGGUACAUCACCUAGCAUGGGAUUCACAUUCAUAUAUAUGAAUUCUUAUGUUUCCAGCAGUCACAAUUCACGCAUUCAUAUGCCUACUCAUAAGCAUUUAGCAUUCAUGUUCAGAGGUCGACAAUCAUAUUCAUAUAUAUGCGUCAAAUGAAACAAUGAUUUACUUUGGCAUGGAAGUGACCUAAUCACUUCGGUAAAGCACAACCCACCUUUCUUUGGCACUGGAAUGAGAGAAAUCCACUUCUCGCACUUUUCCGAGAACCGCGACCCGCGCUCGCGACUAUCGAUGCCGAAAAUAUUCUUUUGGCGAUAUCUUCGCGUAGGAGCGACGGAUUGCCGAACCGACUUCGCCAGCGCGUUUCUUUUACCCCCAAUUAGGUUUGUACGCGGUCAAUUUCAUGUCAGGGCUUCUAUCCUGCAAAAGUGCAUUAUUGGGGUCAAUUUUCAAUACAAACCCAUUUCAAUGCAAUUUCACUUUCUUUAAUGCAAUUUCGACUUUCAAUGCAAUUGCAAUUUCACAAUUACAUCGAGUUCUUUCAACUCGUUCUUUCUCUUUUUCUUUCUUUCAUUUUUCCUCUCUUCUAUUUCUUUUUCUUUCUUUCUUCCUUACUUGCUUUCUUUCUUUUCUUUCUUUCUUUCUUUUCUGCAGCUGAAGCUACUGCUGCUGCUGAAGCUCCUGCUGCUGCUGCUCCUGCCUGCUGCUGAAGCUGCUGCUGCUACUCCCUGCGCAAGCUGCUGAAGCAGCUGCUGCUGACUGCUGCUGAAGCAGCAGCUGCUGCUGAAGCUGAGGCUGCUGCUGCUGCUCCUGCUGAUGCGCAGGGCUGCUGCGCAAGCUGCUGCUGACAGCAGCUACCACUGCUGACUGCCAAGCUGCUACUGAGUGCUUGCUGCUGCUGCUGAUUGCUUGCUCAGCAGCUAGCUGAGCUGCUGCUGCUGUUGACAGGGAAGAAGAGUGAGGGGGAAAAAGAUAGCAAGGAGAGAGGGAGAGAGAUUAAAUUUCUUACCUUUUUCUUCUUCCUUUUCUUCUCCUGCUUCUCUUUUCUCUUCUUUUCUUCUUCUCUCUCUUCUCCUUCUCUCUCUUUCUACGUAUGGAACCAGGGUGAAGCAGAGGGGAUAAGAAUGAAGGCCUCCCUGCUGCCAGAUUAGUGGAAAUCCACUAACUUAGUGAUAAAUGACCAUAAUGCCCCUCGACUUAAGUCCGUUGCGUAACUCGGAUCAAAUACCUUUCGUAGGCUCUUCCGAAAGUCCGAUUGAGCUCAAAUUUGGCAGGAAUGUUCGUUUUUACUUAACAAGUCCACUGAAAUUUUAACAUUUCAGUUUCGACCCCGUUUGGUCACUGCGAACUGUCCCGAACUGUAAUCUUUAUCAGAUAACUUCCAGAUGCUAUUUCUCUCUCUACAGGUGUCAGAAAAAUCUGAAACUUCAAAACUAGCCUUAUAAUAAUGUUCCUGACAUCUCUGCCAAUUUUCGUAAUUUUCUGACACUGUGCAUUUUCUGCUAAUUUUCUCAGUCCCGUUCCUUACAGAAAAUUCUAAAUUUUCCGUUUUCGCUCCGAUUUCACCCAAACACUUCUAAAAUACACCAAGGGACCUUCCCAAGCUACCA
rnacentral:lncRNA from 1 species